GCCCGAUUAGCACAGUCGGUAGUGCGUGGGACUUUUAAUCCUAAGGUCGCGGGUUCGAGCCCCGCAUCGGGUA
rfam:Allomyces macrogynus ATCC 38327 genomic scaffold supercont3.2, whole genome shotgun sequence.